GCAGUGUAGCACUCGCGCCCUUGGGGGCUAGCGUUUGGCCGGAGCUACACACUCUUUACUCACGCACGCACACCGCCGUACACAGCACAAUCGUUCACCGUCCCGCCAAAGGCUCGUCUCUCGGGUUCUGCCUAGUGGAAGGAGUCGGACAACGCCGCACGUCACGGGCGUUUCGGAUUUCUUGCUUCCCAAAGGUUUGACGGCGGCCACCGGCGCCCCGGCCCAGCUCUGCUUUCCUUUGCUGACUCCUUCCUUUAGCUGUCUACCACCACUGCUGCGCUUGUGGAUGACUGCAGGAACACCGGGUACUUGCCACAAGUAUCUCUCCAGAUUCAUCAGCCUUUCACCUGUGACAAGCUCAGUCAAGAAGUGGCUCCUAAGUAAAAGCUGGGGAAGAACAAGGAAGAUAGAGCUCAGAGUAGAAAGCUGUGAAGUUCUGCACAACAGGUCCCCUUGGCCUGCUCUAACAGUUGGAAGACAGGCAUGGUAGCUCAUGUGGAAGCUUCCCGAGGCCCUCACCCAGAAGCAGAUGCUGGAGCCAUGCUUGUACAGCUUGCAGAACUAAAGCCCAGCUGGCUUGGUUCCAUGAAUCUUUGCCCUUCUUUCCAUCCACUUCUUCCUGCUUGGACAUUGGUUACCUGGAGAAGCAGAAGCCAUUUUAAGAUGAUGAAAGCAAAAGUUAAAUGUAUGAGAUGAUGGUGCAGAAAGCCAAAAGGGGCCUCCAGAACACUGAGCUUUGUGGAGUCGUGUACCAUAGCUGUAUUGCCGACCUCUGAACUUCCUGCUGAGAUAAAAAACAAUCCUUAUGUGUUUAUACUACUUUUAUUUCAGUUUCUUUUAAGUAUAGCAAACACAUUCCAAAUAAUAUGCAUCUGAAGUUUUUGGUUUUGUUUUUAAAUUUUUUUUUUAGGGAUGGGUUCUGGCUGCGUAGUGGCUAGAGUGUAGUGGCUAUUCUUAGGUGCGGUCAUAGCUCACUACAGCCUCUAACUGGCCUCAAGCAAUCCUCCCACCUCAGCUUCCAGGGUAGCUGGGAUUACAGGAGAGCACCACACUGAAGUUUCUGUUAAAUAGAAUGUUUGCUGUAGAUUUUUAGUUGAUGUCCUCUGUUAGGUUGAAAACCUUCCUUUAUUUUCUUGUGAAAUUUCUAAGAGAUUUUUAAAUCAUUAACUGGUAUUGAACUUUAUAAAAUGAUUUUUCUGUGUCUGAGAUGAUCAUGUGAUUAUUUUUCCUGUUUAUGUCCCUUGAUGUGAUGAUUUUUAUUGUAGAUCUUCCUUUAUUGAACCAAAUUUACGUUAUUUAUAUUAACCCUAUUUGAUUGUAAUAUAUUUUUAGUAGGGUAUUAGACUCUGUUACCUAACAUUUUACUUAGCAUUAUUUUGCAUCUAUGUUCAUAAGUAAAAUAGGAGUUUUUUUCUUUAUGUGACUAGGUAUCAACAUUAUAUUGGCCUUAUAAAUUAUGUUGAACACUU
rnacentral:lncRNA from 1 species